rnacentral:rRNA from 1 species
CAAAGGAGCAAUCCGCUGAAAGAUGGGCUCGCGUCCGAUUAGGUAGUUGGCGGGGCAACGGCCCACCAAGCCGACGAUCGGUAGCCGGACUGAGAGGUUGAACGGCCACAUUGGGACUGAGACACGGCCCAGACUCCUACGGGAGGCAGCAGUGAGGGAUAUUGGUCAAUGGGGGAAACCCUGAACCAGCAACGCCGCGUGAGGGAAGACGGUUUUCGGAUUGUAAACCUCUGUCCUCUGUGAAGAUGAUGACGGUAGCAGAGGAGGAAGCUCCGGCUAACUACGUGCCAGCAGCCGCGGUAAUACGUAGGGAGCAAGCGUUGUCCGGAUUUACUGGGUGUAAAGGGUGCGUAGGCGGCUUUGCAAGUCAGAAGUGAAAUCCAUGGGCUUAACCCAUGAACUGCUUUUGAAACUGCAGAGCUUGAGUGGAGUAGAGGUAGGCGGAAUUCCCGGUGUAGCGGUGAAAUGCGUAGAGAUCGGGAGGAACACCAGUGGCGAAGGCGGCCUGCUGGGCUCUAACUGACGCUGAGGCACGAAAGCGUGGGUAGCAAACAGGAUUAGAUACCCUGGUAGUCCACGCUGUAAACGAUGAUUACUAGGUGUGGGUGGACUGGCCCCAUCC